rnacentral:rRNA from 1 species
UGGGGAAUAUUGCACAAUGGGGGAAACCCUGAUGCAGCGACGCCGCGUGAGCGAAGAAGGUUUUCGAAUCGUAAAGCUCUGUCCUAUGAGAAGAUAAUGACGGUAUCAUAGGAGGAAGCCCCGGCUAAAUACGUGCCAGCAGCCGCGGUAAUACGUAUGGGGCGAGCGUUGUCCGGAAUUAUUGGGCGUAAAGGGUACGUAGGCGGUCUAUUAAGUCAGGUGUGAAAGCGUGAGGCUUAACCUCAUUAAGCACUUGAAACUGAUAGACUUGAGUGAAGGAGAGGAAAGUGGAAUUCCUAGUGUAGCGGUGAAAUGCGUAGAUAUUAGGAGGAAUACCGGUGGCGAAUGCGACUUUCUGGACUUUUACUGACGCUCAGGUACGAAAGCGUGGGGAGCAAACAGG